rnacentral:rRNA from 1 species
CAAUGGGCGAGCCUGAUGCAGCGACGCCGCGUGAGGGAUGAAGGCCUUCGGGUUGUAAACCUCUUUCAGCAGGGAAGAAGCGCAAGUGACGGUACCUGCAGAAGAAGCGCCGGCUAACUACGUGCCAGCAGCCGCGGUAAUACGUAGGGCGCAAGCGUUGUCCGGAAUUAUUGGGCGUAAAGAGCUCGUAGGCGGUUUGUCGCGUCUGGUGUGAAAACUCGAGGCUCAACCUCGAGCUUGCAUCGGGUACGGGCAGACUAGAGUGCGGUAGGGGAGACUGGAAUUCCUGGUGUAGCGGUGGAAUGCGCAGAUAUCAGGAGGAACACCGAUGGCGAAGGCAGGUCUCUGGGCCGCAACUGACGCUGAGGAGCGAAAGCAUGGGGAGCGAACAGGAUUAGAUACCCUGGUAGUCCAUGCCGUAAACGUUGGGCACUAGGUGUGGGGCUCAUUCCACGAGUUCCGUGCCGCAGCAAACGCAUUAAGUGCCCCGCCUGGGGAGUACGGCCGCAAGGCUAAAACUCAAAGGAAUUGACGGGGGCCCGCACAAGCGGCGGAGCAUGCGGAUUAAUUCGAUGCAACGCGAAGAACCUUACCAAGGCUUGACAUGCACGGGAAGCCACCAGAGAUGGUGGUCUCUUUGGACACUCGUGCACAGGUGGUGCAUGGUUGUCGUCAGCUCGUGUCGUGAGAUGUUGGGUUAAGUCCCGCAACGAGCGCAACCCUCGUCCCAUGUUGCCAGCGGGUUAUGCCGGGGACUCAUGGGAGACUGCCGGGGUCAACUCGGAGGAAGGUGGGGAUGACGUCAAAUCAUCAUGCCCCUUAUGUCUUGGGCUUCACGCAUGCUACAAUGGCCGGUACAAAGGGCUGCGAUACCGUAAGGUGGAGCGAAUCCCAAAAAGCCGGUCUCAGUUCGGAUUGGGGUCUGCAACUCGACCCCAUGAGUCGGAGUCGCUAGUAAUCGCAGAUCAGCAACGCUGCGGUGAAUACGUUCCCGGGCCUUGUACA